GUGCUUGCUUCAGCAGCAUUCAUACUAAAAUUAGAAUGAUACACAGACGAUUAUCAUGGCCCCUGCACUUGAAAAAUUCUUGAAAGGCAUAGAAUUAGUAAGUCGUC